rnacentral:rRNA from 1 species
GACGAACGCUGGCGGCGUGCCUAAUACAUGCAAGUCGAGCGAAUCUUUGGGAGCCUUGCUCCCAAAGUUAGCGGCGGACGGGUGAGUAACACGUGGGCAACCUGCCUAUAAGACUGGGAUAACUUCGGGAAACCGGAGCUAAUACCGGAUAAUUCUUUUCUACACAUGUAGGAAAGCUAAAAGACGGUUUACGCUGUCACUUAUAGAUGGGCCCGCGGCGCAUUAGCUAGUUGGUGAGGUAACGGCUCACCAAGGCCACGAUGCGUAGCCGACCUGAGAGGGUGAUCGGCCACACUGGGACUGAGACACGGCCCAGACUCCUACGGGUGGCUG